rnacentral:rRNA from 1 species
UACGGAGGGUGCGAGCGUUGUCCGGAAUCAUUGGGCGUAAAGGGCGCGUAGGCGGCUUGGCAAGUGGAUAGUGAAAUCCCUCGGCUUAACCGAGGAACUGCCAUCCAGACUGCUUUGCUUGAGGCCGGGAGAGGUGAGUGGAAUUCCCAGUGUAGCGGUGAAAUGCGUAGAUAUUGGGAGGAACACCAGUGGCGAAGGCGGCUCACUGGACCGGUUCUGACGCUGAGGCGCGAAAGCGUGGGGAGCAAACGGG